rnacentral:rRNA from 1 species
AUUGAACGCUGGCGGCAGGCCUAACACAUGCAAGUCGAACGAGUGGCGGACGGGUGAGUAAGGUCUGGGAAAAUGCCCGAUGGAGGGGGAUAACUACUGGAAACGGUAGCUAAUACCGCAUACCAUCGGAUGUGCACAGAUGGGAGGAGCUAGUAGGGGGGGUAAAGGCUCACAUGGGCGACGAUCCCUAGCUGGUCAGUGAGGAGGACCAGCCACACUGGAACGGGGACACGGUCCAGACUCCUACGGGAGGCAGCAGUGGGGAUUAUUGCACAAUGGGCGCAAGCCUGAUGCAGCCAUGCCGCGUGUAUUAAGAAGGCCUUCGGGUUGUAAAUUACUUUCAGCGGGGAGGCGUUACUCGCAGAAGAAGCACCGGCUAACUCCGUGCCAGCAGCCGCGGUAAUAC